rnacentral:rRNA from 1 species
UACAGAGGUGGCAAGCGUUGUUCGGAAUUACUGGGCGUAAAGGGCGCGUAGGCGGCCGCCUAAGUCAGACGUGAAAUCCCCAAGCUUAACUUGGGAACUGCGUCUGAUACUGGGUGGCUUGAGUUCGGGAGAGGAAUGUGGAAUUCCUGGUGUAGCGGUGAAAUGCGCAGAUAUCAGGAGGAACACCAAUGGCGAAGGCAGCACUCUGGGACGUGACUGACGCUGAGACGCGAAAGCGUGGGGAGCAAACAGG